UUGAAUGGUCUUUGACCUUCUACCCCUCAAACCUGUGGAAGCAAAAAAUGUGCUUCGGCGUCCUUUGUUGGGCGCCGCUUUUAUGCAUAAGUCUGUGUGUCGUCUGAAUCAUACAAACGAAUCA
rnacentral:misc_RNA from 1 species